GACGAACGCUGGCGGCGUGCCUAAUACAUGCAAGUUGAGCGCUGAAGGUUGGUACUUGUACCAACUGGAUGAGCAGCGAACGGGUGAGUAACGCGUGGGGAAUCUGCCUUUGAGCGGGGGCAACAUUUGGAAACGAAUGCUAAUACCGCAUAAAAACUUUCAACACAAGUUUUAAGUUUGAAAGAUGCAAUUGCAUCACUCAAAGAUGAUCCCGCGUUGUAUUAGCUAGUUGGUGAGGUAAAGGCUCACCAAGGCGAUGAUACAUAGCCGACCUGAGAGGGUGAUCGGCCACAUUGGGACUGAGACACGGCCCAAACUCCUACGGGAGGCAGCAGUAGGGAAUCUUCGGCAAUGGACGAAAGUCUGACCGAGCAACGCCGCGUGAGUGAAGAAGGUUUUCGGAUCGUAAAACUCUGUUGGUAGAGAAGAACGUUGGUGAGAGUGGAAAGCUCAUCAAGUGACGGUAACUACCCAGAAAGGGACGGCUAACUACGUG
rnacentral:rRNA from 1 species